rnacentral:lncRNA from 1 species
AUCUAUCCCUGUUGAGUGUGAACCUUUGGUGGACCUGAGUAUACUGGGGGGCUAAGUCUUCUGUUAAUUUUUAUCAACAGAGAGGGCGGCACUGGAAGCCACCAGCUCCUGGGUUCCAGAUUUCAUCUUCUGCAGCCCCUAUGUUGUAGCCGGCAUCACCCGUUUCUCAUUCCAGAACACGGGGAUUUUCCCAAGCCAGAGAUUGAACCCAGGUCUCCUGCAUUGAAGGCAGAUUCGUUACCAGCUGAGCCACAAGGGAAGCCCGAGUUAUCUAUUCAGAAGAGGCUGAAAUAAUACCGAGUGAGGGAAACUUUUCCUGCUGCAGGACACUGGAAUUGAAUUCUGCUGCCCUGAAGAAAACUCAAGAAGGAUAUUAUGUGAAUUUAAGUCAUCUCAUCUCUUUGGAGGGCUGUUUCAGUUUAGUUCGGUCGCUCAGUCAUGUCCGACUCUUUGUGGCCCCGUGGACCACAGCACACCAGGCCUUCCUGUCCAUCAUCAACUCCUGGAGUUUACUCAAACUCAUGUCCACUGAGUCAGUGAUGUCAUCCCCUUCUCCUCCUGCCUUCAAUCUUUCUCAGCAUCAGGGUCUUUUCCAAUGAGUCAGCUCUUCAUAUCAGGUGGCCAAAGGAUUGGAGUUUCAGCUUCAGCAUCAGUCUUUCCAAUGAACACUUAGGACUGAUCUCCUUUAGGAUGGACUGGUUGGAUCUCCUUGCAGUCCAAGGGACUCUCAAGAGUCUUCUCCAACACCACAGUUCAAAAGCAUCAAUUCUUUGGCUUUCAGCUCUCUUUCUAGUCCAACUCUCAUAUCCAUACACUCAUACCAGUUGUUAUGAAUUGGUCCCCAAAUUAGACAGGGUCUAAUUCUGAGUAAUUUAUUUGAAUCUAGGCAUGUGUGCCUUUUGUUUACUUACAUAUGUAUUAAAUGAUUUUAACUACCUGAUUUUAUAGUUGACUUAGGAUAUAUUUAUUGAGAGCCCACAUGUAUCAAGCUCAGUAACUUACUAGUAACAUCUCUUUUAUACAUUUUUUGAUAUUCUUACUUGCUUACUCUUUCAGAUGAAUUUUAAAGUAUCCUCUACAAUCCUGUUGAAACUAAAGGCAAAUAUAAAUUUUGAUAUUUUUACAAUGAUUUUACCAUUCUCAUUACUUAUCUUAUUCUGUAAAUAUUUGUUAUUUUCAUGGUAUGCAUAUUUCUCAUGGAUAAUUUCUCUUUAAAAUUUUUGCUAUUUUUAUAGUAAAUAAGAUAUACUUAAAAAUUAUAUUAUCUAAAUGGAC